GUCAGCAAAGCUUAAUUAUUAAAUAUAAGAGUGCUAUGUCGUAUGUCGACUAAAAGAAAAAAUAAAAUCCUUCAGGGACCGCCGGGCAGUCCGUGCUGAUCAGCAUUUGGACCUAUUUAGCGUUCAUGAGUUUCAGCUGCUGAAGUGACACUGGGACGAGAAGAUUCUGAAGAGGGCGACAAGACAUCAAAUAUUGUCGAUGUGUCGAACAAGGACGUGACUGCAAACUGAGGAAUCUUACUGACAGAAAAGCGACGCUGGAAGAGGAAGAGGAGGGAGUGAUGUGAAGGAGCUGUUGCUGCAGCAGAGACCAGGCACACCGCAUGGGGAAACCCGGGAGCUGUCCAGCAGCAAUGGAGAGAACAAUGACAACACGAGUGAAGAUGGAAACGGGGUGACUUAGGAGCUCAGGUGGACUUGACUGCUGCUGCUGGAGCCUUCAGCUGGGCGCCGGUGAGAAAAGGUGACCUACGAUUUGGAUGUAUGCACCGAGGAUCGACUGAAAGAGGGACCGACCGAUCGACCUUCCUUCCUCCCCCUUUCCUCUGUCCUCCCUCACCUUCUCUCUCUCUCUUCUCCAUCUUGAGACAGGUAAUUGCACGGGCUGAAAUGUGUUUGAGGAUGACGUCAAACACAAAUCACCCUUCAAAUUGUGUUUUGCGUAAGGCUCGUAAUGACAGCUCGGUGCAUGUGAGCAAGAGUUGUGUUUGUGUAGGGUCUCGUGCUUCUAGAUUUCUAUCAUUUAUAUGUUAAAGUUAUCAUGGAGCUUUAAGUCAAAUGGAAAAUAAUU